UACAGAGGGUGCGAGCGUUAAUCGGAAUUACUGGGCGUAAAGCGAACGUAGGUGGUUUUGCAAGUCGAGUGUGAAAGCCCCGGGCUCAACCUGGGAACUGCAUUCGAGACUGCAUUACUCGAGUAUUGGAGAGGGCAGUGGAAUUUCCGGUGUAGCGGUGAAAUGCGUAGAUAUCGGAAGGAACAUCAGUGGCGAAAGCGACUGCCUGGCCAAAUACUGACACUCAAGUUCGAAAGCGUGGGGAGCAAACAGGAUUAGAUACCCUGGUAGUCCACGCCAUAAACGAUGACAACUGGAUGUCGGGAGGAUUUGCCUCUCGGUGUCGUAGCUAACGCGUUAAGUUGUCCGCCUGGGGAGUACGGCCGCAAGGUUGAA
rnacentral:rRNA from 1 species